rnacentral:sRNA from 1 species
GGAAACGAGGACCCACCAUGACAGGGCAGAUCCCCAAUACCUGCCCCUUCUUUAAGUCCAGCUCCACCCGAGGACAGAGGCAGCCGGCCUCUGCCAGGCCCCCCUGAGCAGCCAUCGCUUCAGUGGUGCUGGGUCAGGCGGACCCAAGAGUCAGCCCGUACGCAAGCCGCGCUACGUCAGGCGGGAGCGGACCCUGGACGGGGCCACGGACCCCGCUGCCUUCUCGGCGGAGGCCCGUAUCAGCAAUGUCUGACCUGGAGGCCGAGACCGCGCCACACACUUGGCGGCAGGGACCCGGAGGCCGACCCCUUGGCGGGAACCCAGCACAAAGGGUUGGCAUUGCCCGGCGCCUGGGACAGUCCUGGGCACAGCCUCAGCUCUGAGUCCCUCCGUCUCCCAGCGACAGACGCCAAGGGGUCCCGGGCCGCCUGAGGCUCCUUCCCACCACAGCCAUCUCGUUUAUCGGACCAGGAGCAGGCAUCCGUGAGACCUCAGAGCUUCAGAUCAAGGCCUUGGGGGGUCUGGGCCCCCAGGAAAUACGAAAUUCAUUGUGCAGAAAAGUCCUCCAGAGCUCUGCGGCCCCGCUCGGAUCCGCUGGACCCCCGUGCCUGGCUGAUCCCUGCCCACGUAGGGCAGGCCCACAUCUAAC